rnacentral:siRNA from 1 species
UUAUGCCGUCAUAUAGUUAUUUA